CCCUUAGAUGUCCUGGGCCGCACGCGCGUUACACUGAUGCAUUCAACGAGCUUAUAACCUUGGCCGAGAGGCCUGGGCAAUCUUGUUAACGUGCAUCGUGAUAGGGAUAGAUUAUUGAAAUUAUUAAUCUUGAACGAGGAAUUCCUAGUAAACGCAGAUCAUCAAUCUGCAUUGAUUACGUCCCUGCCCUUUGUACACACCGCCCGUCGCUCCUACCGAUUGAGCGAUCCGGUAAAUGUUUUGGAUUGGUGCCGGGGCGGCUAGCUGCCGGUCGCUACGAAAUUUUGUGAACCUUAUCGCUUAGAGGAAGGAAAAGUCGUAACA
rnacentral:rRNA from 1 species